rnacentral:rRNA from 1 species
GUCUUUUUGAUUAUAAUUUAAAGUCUAACCUGCCCACUGAAAUUUUUGAAGGGCCGCGGUAUUUUGACUGUGCAAAGGUAGCAUAAUCAUUAGUCUUUUAAUUGGAGGCUUGUAUGAAUGGUUGGAUGAGGUAUUAACUGUCUCAAUUUAAUAAAUAAAAGAAUUUUAUUUUUAAGUUAAAAAGCUUAAAUGAAAUUAAAAGACGAGAAGACCCUAUAGAUCUUUAUAAUUAAUUUUAUAAUAAUUUUUUAGAUAAAAUUUAUUUUUAUAAAAUAAAUUAUUGUAUUGGGGUGAUAAAAAAAUUUAUAAAACUUUUUUUGUAAAAAAACAAUUAUAUUUGAUUAAUUGAUCCAUUUUUUGUGAUUAUAAGAUUAAGUUACCUUAGGGAUAACAGCGUAAUUUUUUUGGAGAGUUCUUAUCGAUAAAAAAGAUUGCGACCUCGAUGUUGAAUUAAAGGUUAAUUUUAGGUGUAGAAGUUUAAAAUUUUGGUCUGUUCGACCAUUAAAUC